AUUAUACAGUAUCAGUAUAACAUAUAAGUACUUCUGAGCAAUGACAACAAUACAAUACCUACAUCAGUUAAUAAUUCUAUAAAAUAUUUUAUUCUACGCAAAAGAAUAUCAUAGUGACCUAUUUAUUUGGUUCUACAAUAGUAAUUGAUUAUUUAUUUCAUAACAAUUAAAUAAUCACUUGUUUAAGAUUCUUAGCAAAGUUGAGAAACAAUUCAGUGGUCAACUUGUGAAUUGGAGCCCUUCGCUACAUAACAAGCAUAACGACAUACAGAUGUUAGACUUUGUUAGAUGACAUACAGCUAAUGACAAACUUAAACAGCUGUAUAAAAUGCCAGACAUUUUCGAAAUUAGAAGAGACGCCUCCAAUGGGAGGGCCAUGCUUAGAGAAAAGAAGGAACUUAGAUUCAAACUAUUCAAAAUAGCGUGCCAGAGGGAAGAGACCCUUCGGACGUCCAAGGAAAAGAUGGGAAGAUCAGGUAAAAGGUGAUGUCGAAAACUGUAGCCCUGGGAAGAAAUGGCAGGAGCUAGCAAUGAAUAGAUAAGAAUGGAAGGAAAUAUGUUGGUCAGUAAAAUCUCAAUGGUUAUAUACAAGAAGAAUAGGAAUACUUUUGUUAAUAUAAAUAAGCUAUUGAAUAAUGUAACUUAGCCAUAUUAAUAAGUGAUAAUUAAUUACUAAUUAAUAUUUAUUCAGUGUAGACUAACAUUAUCUACGUCAAGCAUUGAACAUUAUCAACAGCAUGUUUAUAUUAAUACUCAAUUUAUUCAACUGGUAAUAACUUUUAUAUUAUGAAGAUAUUAAAUUAAUUAUUUGAGGUUAUCACCUUACUCAGACAAAGGGGUACAGAAAAAAUGGGUAGUCAGAAUAAAAAUCCUCCAAUAAAAAUUCACAAAAAACAAGUAUUUCGAUACCUAAAUUAAAACAUAAAAAAAUAAUAAUUUCAAUAUAAUAUAGGUACUCAAUUAAAUUGUAUUAGUUUUUUAUUUUUUAGAGAGCUAUAUGGGAGUAACAAUAACUAUUUAAUUUUUUUUAUAGAAUUAAUCAUAUUAUUUUUAUAUGAAAAUUAUAAUAUGAAAUAAAUAAAAGUACAUUAAAUUUUAUUCAAUGUUUAUUUUAAACGGUAAGUGUAGCUUAGUUUUUUAACUUUUAUUAAAUAAUAAUUAUUAAAUUUUUGUUGAAGUUUGAUUUUUAAUGUUUAAUUAUAAUUGUUAAACUUAUACAAUAUUUAAUUUUAUAUAUUAACUAGCUGAUCCCGUGCACUUCGUUGCCCGUUAAAUAUACCAACUCUAUAUGACUCAAACUUUGUUCAAUUCGUUAUUUAAUAUUCGAUGUUUGGUGUUCAAAAUUUAUCUUAACUUUUCCGUUUCCCGGAAUAAAAAUUCUGAUUCACAGCACUAUAUUAUCAGGUAGAUAGCGGACCCUGUGCUGUUUUUACGUAAGUGUAUGAUUUAACUCUAAAGUAUCAAAGUUCUACCAAGUUUGUUGUAUUCCACCUAUGGUGAAUUAAUAUAAUCAAUACAAAAUCCUAACCUAACCUAACCAUACUAAAAUCCAAUAAAUAAAAAAAAACCAAAUUUAACCAUUUUUAAAUUAGCCUAUCUUCUUUCUAGAGGUCAAAUCAACACACAAACAUUAAAUUAUUGAUUAAUUGUUUUUUUUUUUUUUACUAAACUAAAUAAUUAUAAUAAUUGUUUGAAUGUUAUUUAUUUUCAGCCAGCGACUAUUUCUUACUAAAAAAGGUAUAGGUAUACAAUUUACACAUUUUUUUAAAUUAAAAUUAAAAUUAAGAAAUUCCCACAAUAUAUCUUUAUAAAUUGUAGCCUAUGUGUUAUUCUGAUGUAUAAGCUAUAUUAUUGCAAAGUUUCAUUAAAAUCCAUUCAGUAGUUUUUAUGUGAAAAAGUAACAAACAUAUUAUGUACAAACUUUCGCGUUUAUAAUAUUAGUAGGAUUAAUUAUCAGUAUAUUAGAUUUAUAAUAAAAAUAAUAAUGAUGUAUUUAUUUAACAUUUUAAAAAUAUUGAUUCAAUCACAUGAAAUAUCCUUUGGAAAUGUUGUAGUGUGGGUAUUUUUUCCCAAGGACAAGCAUUUGUGUUUCCGGUGUUUUUCAGAGGAUUUUUAUUCUAUGAUUUGAUAUAGGACACCCACAGGCUUAUUAAAUUACUUUGUAAAUGUCAUGAUUUAAAUAUACCGGGUUUGAGUCACCAUUGUUACAUAGGUACAUUAACUAGAGUCCGUGUCAAACUAACUGACGGUUAGAAACCUUGCCCAAUCGAAGUGGUAUAUUUUAAGUAACAUACACACACAAAAACCAUAACGCUCCAAAUUAAUUUGAGGUACCAACUGCAGAAUACCUCGCCAGUUCGUUUGACGCAGACCAUUUAAUAGUUGGUGAAUUACCAAAUGCCCAACAUUAUACAGAAUCUAUAAAUUAAGAAAUAUUCUAUAAGUAGUCUGAUAGUAAACACAGUAAAAACCGUUUAUAAUGACACUGGUUGUAAUGACAUAUUGGGUGUAAUGACCUUAGAUUAAAGGUCCCUGCAAAACUUCUAUAUUUUAUGUACUAAUUUGUAUUGGUUAUUAUAAAGUCUAUAUAAUGAGUCAUUAUUAUUGACUGCAUGCAUGACGGUUAUUUUGGUUAUAUUGGAAAAAUAUUUUAUCUAUAAUGACUUAACUUUAUCGAAGGUAUUAUUAUAACCGAUAAUCCUGAGCGAUAAUAUCAGCAUAUUAGAUGGUAUAUUACUGAUUUUUAAAGCUUGGGAAAAAGUAUCAGAGAUUACAAUUCAAAAUUGUUUUCGUCACGUUGGUUUCAAUAAUGCGAUACCACAACAAGCGGUCCAAGGAGAACAAGAAGAAGACAUAAGUUUCCGAGUAAGUUUCCCAAACAUAAAUGAAUAUGUUAACUUUGAUAAUGAUGUGCUGACUUCAGAACCAUUAAGUGAUCAAGAAUUUAUUUCCUCAUUGAUUAACCAACCCAAAGAACCCGAGGAAGACGAAGAAGCUGAUACUCCAGAUGAAGAUUUAUCUAUUAGUGCAGUGUUCAAUGCAGCAAAAAUGUUAGCAAAUUAUAUGGCUCUGAAUAAUAAGAGUCCAAAGAUACAUUUUGAAGAACUAGACAAAAAAAUAGAGCAUGAUUUUUAUACGAAGUUCAAUCUAAAAUAACAGAUUUAUAAAAAAAAUAAUAAUUUAAUUAAUUAAUUUAAAUAUGUACAUAAUUAAAUGUUUUUAUCUUUACUUCUUUUUUGUAUUAUACAUUACAUAAAUAAACAAUAAUAAUAAUGUGUAUUGAAGUUACAAUUUUUUUUAGUCAUUUUAGUUAUAAAUACAACCGGUUUCUACUGUAAUUAGCAUAAGAACAA